UUUUAGGGAAGGAGAUUAUUCUAUUCUGUUAUUUUACAUAGUAUCUGUUCCUUUAUUGAUUUAGUGUAAAAUCAAUCCGUUUUCUUCAUUGGGUGGAUGAAAUGGGGCAGGAGAGGGGGAUUUUCGCUCAGCGCUACAGACAGCCACGAGAGUCAUCAUUCUCACCGCCCCUUGAUUGCCACGUAGGAGCAGAGGCAAGCUCUUUUCCAAGCUGGUAUAGUCAAGAGAGAUAACAUACUCAUCAAAAAGGAAGAAGGAAAGACUAUCCUGGAUAGUUUAAUAGCAACAGGAGUAAAGAUGACGCGAACCCCAUCAAAUGAAACAAUACUAUUUUCAUUCAAUUGAUCGCAAAGUGUCUUCAAUUAAUAACUUGGCACUUAUUUAAAAGGUUUAACAGAGGUGAGACCAAAACAUUUUGUACCGACAACACGUCAUGAAAUAACAGCAUCUUCUUUUGUUUAAAAUAACUUAAUACACUAGAAAAAAUAUGGCAAAUAUAAAUAAUUUUGUUUUCAUGGAGAACAAAUAGUUACAAAGCUCAACUGCAUACCAAAGUUCAGCUAAAAGAGCUUUUCCUCUUUCUUGUAAAUUAGAAGGGUAGCUGGGUGUUGUUUAAAGUGAGUGUGAUGGGACUGAGAGGGGGAAAU
rnacentral:lncRNA from 1 species